AUUGAUUUUGAUGCUUCUAGUCGUUUUCCCCGUAAGAUAGAACGGCUUGCUGUCUCUUUGAAGUACACCAUUCGUGUUAGCUAUGGCGCAUGCGCAAAUCAAAUAUCCUCGGUUCAGCCUACAACGUACUGCCAAAUGGACGCUGCUCAGCUGGAUGGUAUCUACUCAUUAGUUUCUAGCUUGCAGUUUGACUGACACGAUUUUGGUUUGGUUUAGAGAGAAUUAGAAUUUACUAUCAAGAGGGAAAACCUUUGAAGGUGAUUCUAGCGUAUUUGGCUGCGAAUCACGUUGUUCGGAGGUGACUAGGAACGCUUACUUAUUUACUUGCAAACCUCUAUUUGGCAUUGCAAUCUAUGACGAGAUGGAGGUUACAUCUGAUGACUCUUUCACAGUUUAUGAGAGCUGGACACACAAUGACAGUGCUGUAGGAAAAGGUGAAGAGCCUGGAUCAGCGUAUGGGUCCCCUGGUGCAAUCCAGUCCCAUCACACAGCAACUGCGACCACAUCUGUAGCAGUACAAACAUCAAUUCAUUUGUCAUACAAGUCUUUAGGAGUUCAGACUGAUGAGCAGCAAGUGAAUGCCACGUCUGAUGCUGACAGGAAGACAGAAUCACCUUUAGAUAGUUUGUGUGUCAAGCUAGAAGUGCAGCCAAGUACCGUUCAGAUUGGAAAGCAGCUGGGUAAAGGAAAUUUUGGCACUGUAUGAAGCAAAGUGGAGUGGGUCCAGAGUUGCCGUUAAAAUAAUUCAAUUUGAGCAAGUAAAAGUUCUCCCAUUACACCUGAGAGAGAAAUUUCAGUUUUAUUACAUCUUCGGCACCCGCACAUUAUCAUGAUCCUCGCAUGGGCAAAAGAAGUGCCAUCAACAUUGUAUAUUGUCACGAACUUAGUUAACGGACCAAGUCUCUUUCGAGCUCUGUUUGCACAGACUUCAAACUUGCAGUUCUCUUUGACAAACAGAAUGCAAAUUGCUGCCCAAGUGACAUCGGCUCUAGGAUACCUGCAUAAUGCAAAACCUAAGGUGCUCCAUAGAGAUUUGAAGACAGACAAAAUUUUAAUAGAUGCCCAUACUUAUCAUCCCUACUUAGCAGACUAUGGGAACAGCAGCUUACUCUGCUCCAAAAGUCUUUGAUUGCGUCUAUUCCACACAAACGGACAUAUGGGCAUUAGGGUGUGUGCUGUAUGAACUCCUAACAGGAUGUUUCAUUUGGAAUGAAAUCAACAGAAAGCCAGUGGCCAUUCAACGGCAUUUCUUUUAUGCCAGAGGACCAGAUAUUUCUAGAGUUAUGCCAUCAGUUGCUAAAGAUGUUGUUGCAAGUUGCUUGCAGAUCAGUCCUGAAAAGCGACCUUCUGCAGACUCUGUAGUCUCUAAGCUCACAGAAAUUAACCUUCCAGAAUAAUGUACUUUCAGUCAGAAACUGUUUGUUCUUUGUUGAGUUGAGUUGAGUUUUCGUCUGAGAAGUAAUUAGUUUUUCGAAUUGCCAUUGAGUAAGCUAAACUUAAUCUUUUGCCACUUGGUAAAACAUCUUUUCAUUGUGUGCUGGAGGCACAAUUAAAAAUGCACUUUGUCUUGUAACAUUUCUUGUUGACAAACAGAUUGUAUGUU